UUUUGCCUCUCAGCCCUGCAAGUGGCACCUCUAUCCUGUCCUAGUGGGAUGCCCGUCGCCUGAGGCGCCCCCAACUCCAAGUGGUCGUCACUUCGCACAUUCCUAACCCCACGGACCUCCUAAUCCCAAGGAACCCCAGGCCUCUUUCCCCAAGAUGUUCCGUCCUUUCAACCGACUCCAGGAGUUCCCGGUUUAAACCCUGAGUUUCCCCCACCCCUAAUGUCUUUUCCCAGCACUCUUUUCACUCCAAAACCCGAGGAGUCCCCUAGCCGCCACCCUCGGUGCCCAGCCCCUUCCCUCCAAGUGCUUCCUCUGCAGGUCUCGCCAAUCACCUCCUAAAUAGCUUUGCACUCCUUCAGACCCGGAAUCUUCGCUGGGCGGGGGACCCUCUCUUUUUCUUUGAGUGGCGUAGAGGAGAGCCAAUAUCUGAUUCUGUUCAGAACUCAGCUCCAGUGAUACCUGAGAAGCCUUCCCUCCUGUGUCCUACCAGGGAGAAGGUGGAGCAUGUAAGGGUUUAUCGAGAUCUGACAACCACAGCAGUUUUCCUUUAGGAACCAUACCCUAGCUCCUACUGGACAUGUGACCAAACCCAGCACAAUGAGAAUGAUACCUGGGACUUCUUCUGGAGUGCGCAAGAGGAACUCUUUCCCCUGGGUGGCAUGGCUGGUAGGUUGUACAACCCACAGUGGCUGGUGACUAUCUCUGCCAUUAAUGAGGACAGCCUGCUUAUAGAAUGAAGCCAAUAAUGAAGAAAGUGGGGCUGACAGAUCGAAUUCAAAUGAGAUCAUUUGAGGUCCUGGAUUCAGCCAUGACUAAAGCCACAAUCAGCUUUUGAACAUCGGUUACAUGAGCCAAUAAAUUCUCUAUUAUGUUUAGGCUGGUCUGAGCUGGGUUUUUGUCUCUCUCAACUGAUAAAAAUCCUGAUUAAUACACAAGCUAAUUGAUACAAGAAAUCACAAGGCUCCCUUUGGAACCACUUAUCUUUCUUUACCCAUUUUAUAUAGGAACAAUGAUACCCUGUGACAUUACUACAAUAACCUCCAUCACCACUAUAUACUUGUUUCUCCAUCUCUAGGGCCUUAAAAGUUCAGGGCCGUGGGCUUUACUAACAAUCCCUUUGAAAUUGUCACUGUCAACCACCUUGGCCUGGCUAUUGGAAGUGAAAGUAAGACAGUAGUGGUUCCAAGUGAACAGGAGGUGAGACAGAGACAGGAACUAAAGAUAACUCAUCAAAAGCUUGAUUUCAAAGGAAGGGAAAGAGAAAGAACUAGCUAGAGAAAGACAGGAGGUUAAGGAAGUGGGUUGUACUAGGGGUGUUUUUCUUUAUGAUGAGAAAGGCUUGAGCAUGUUUGUGUACUGAGAGGAAAGCACUAGUGAAGAGGGAAAGAUAAACACAGGAGAGGGUUUGGUCACCGAGGUAGCAGUAGGUAGGUGAUCUGGAAUUAUGUUAAAUAGAAAGAGGGACACCUCUAAAGCAGGAAGGAAGGAACAAUGGUACAAAAAGAGA